AUUGAACACUGGCGGCAUGCCUUACAUAUGCAAGUCGAACGGUAACAGGUCUUCGGAUGCUGACGAGUGGCGAACGGGUGAGUAAUACAUCGGAACGUGCCUAGUAGUGGGGGAUAACUACUCGAAAGAGUGGCUAAUACCGCAUGAGAUCUACGGAUGAAAGCAGGGGAUCGCAAGACCUUGUGCUACUAGAGCGGCCGAUGGCAGAUUAGGUAGUUGGUGGGAUAAAAGCUUACCAAGCCGACGAUCUGUAGCUGGUCUGAGAGGACGAUCAGCCACACUGGGACUGAGACACGGCCCAGACUCCUACGGGAGGCAGCAGUGGGGAAUUUUGGACAAUGGGCGCAAGCCUGAUCCAGCAAUGCCGCGUGCAGGAAGAAGGCCUUCGGGUUGUAAACUGCUUUUGUACGGAGCGAAAAGGCUCUCUCUAAUACAGGGGGCUCAUGACGGUACCGUAAGAAUAAGCACCGGCUAACUACGUGCCAGCCGCCACCGUAA
rnacentral:rRNA from 1 species